rnacentral:rRNA from 1 species
AGUGAACGCUGGCGGUAGGCCUAACACAUGCAAGUCGAACGGCAGCACAGUAAGAGCUUGCUCUUACGGGUGGCGAGUGGCGGACGGGUGAGGAAUAUAUCGGAAUCUACUUUUUCGUGGGGGAUAACGUAGGGAAACUUACGCUAAUACCGCAUACGACCUACGGGUGAAAGCAGGGGAUCUUCGGACCUUGCGCGAUUGAAUGAGCCGAUGUCGGAUUAGCUAGUUGGCGGGGUAAAGGCCCACCAAGUCGACGAUCCGUAGCUGGUCUGAGAGGAUGAUCAGCCACACUGGAACUGAGACACGGUCCAGACUCCUACGGGAGGCAGCAGUGGGGAAUAUUGGACAAUGGGCGCAAGCCUGAUCCAGCCAUACCGCGUGGGUGAAGAAGGCCUUCGGGUUGUAAAGCCCUUUUGUUGGGAAAGAAAAGCAGCAGGUUAAUACCCCGCUGUUCUGACGGUACCCAAAGAAUAAGCACCGGCUAACUUCGUG